UAAAACUGUAUUUGAAUUUGGGGCGAGCA
rnacentral:piRNA from 1 species